rnacentral:rRNA from 1 species
AUUGAACGCUGGCGGCAGGCCUAACACAUGUAAGUCGAACGGAUCGGCAGACGGGGGAGGAAUGCCUAUGAAUCUGACUGUUAGUGGGGGAUGACGUCAGGAACCGGGCGCUAAUACCGCAUACUAUCAGAUGAGCCUAGGUCGGAUUAGCUAGUUGGUGGGGUAAAGGCCUACCAAGGCGACGAUCCGUAACUGGUCUGAGAGGAUGAGCAGUCACACUGGAACUGAGACACGGUCCAGACUCCUACGGGAGGCAGCAGUGGGGAAUAUUGGACAAUGGGCGAAAGCCUGAUACAGCCAUGCCGCGUGUGUGAAGAAGGUCUUCGGAUUGUAAAGCACUUUAAGUUGGGAGGCGUUACCAACAGAAUAAGCACCGGCUAACUCCGUGCCAGCAGCCGCGGUAAUAC